AAAUAUAGUGAUGAUAUUUUACCGCCCCAGGCUUAUAGUUGUGAUUGAUUGGUUUUACUGACACUUU